GGUAUUGUGAUGGGGUUUGUGGGGUUUCUGAUUUUCUUGGUGUGUGUAGAGAAGGUGAAGGGCCCUGGAUUGGGAGAGACAUCGCCAGCAAAAGCAGGAGGAGAGAAAGUCACAGGAGGUGUGAAUGGGUUUUGUAUGCAUGGGGUCUAGGAUGAGAUCGAUUGUAGGUAGGAGUGAGAGAGUAGAAAAAUGAGUGCAAGGCAUGAGAGGAGAGAAGGGGAGCAGAGAGAGGCAUAUGUAAAUUUGGAUGGGGUGAUGAGUGAAGUGGGUGUAAGGAGAUAUUUUUAUACCAAGGGAGAAGGAGAAAAUAAAGAGGAGGAGAAGACAAAUCAUUGCUAAACUGGGAAAAAGUAAAUUGGAAAUAAUUGGAAUAUCAAGAGCAGGUGAAGG